GAUGAAGAACGCAGCGAAAUGCGAUAAGCAAUGUGAAUUGCAGAAUUCAGUGAAUCAUCGAAUCUUUGAACGCACAUUGCGCCCCCUGGUAUUCCGGGGGGCAUGCCUGUUCGAGCGUCAUUUCACCACUCAAGCCUCGCUUGGUAUUGGGCAACGCGGUCCGCCGCGUGCCUCAAAUCGUCCGGCUGGGUCUUCUGUCCCCUAAGCGUUGUGGAAACUAUUCGCUAAAGGGUGUUCGGGAGGCUACGCCGUAAAACAACCCCAUUUCUAAGGUUGACCUCGGAUCAGGUAGGGAUACCCGCUGAACUUAAGCAUAUCAAUAAGCGGAGGA
rnacentral:misc_RNA from 1 species